AAAAAUAAAGCCCUUAUUAUUGCUAGCCUCUUCUCAUCCUUAUCUUCUCCAGUUCCCCUCCUGUUCCUCUCUUGGAGCUCGCGCCCUCUUCACGAGCACUUCUCCUCUUACUACUCUUCUCAAUCUCACAACUCCCAAAAAUAAAAAAAAAAUAUUCAAAACAAAAGGAAACAAAGCAGUCCCCAAAAAUCUGAAAGUUGAUACAAAAAACCAAGCAAAAAAAUCAGACUUUUUUCUUCUUCAAACUCCUCCAUUCAUCAUCCCACAUGAAAAAUCAUCCAACUUUCUUGAAAACCAAUUCCUUGUCAAAAUUCAGCACUUGUCACACAAACCCAAUAAUCUGAAAAAAAAUCCCACAAAAAAAAAGAAGAAAAAAAAAAGAAACACCAUUAGAGAAAAUCCCAAGAAAAUGAAGAGAGAUCGUGAUAGAGAAAAAUCCCAAGAUGGUUCUUCUUCUGGUAAAUCUAAGAUUUUUGAAGAAGAACAACCAGAUGCUGGAAUGGAUGAGCUUUUAGCUGUUUUGGGCUAUAAGGUUAAAUCUUCAGAUAUGGCUGAAGUAGCACAAAAACUUGAACAACUUGAGAUGGCUAUGUGUACAACAUUAGAAGAUGGAAUUUCUCAUCUUUCUACUGAUACAGUUCAUAAAAAUCCUUCUGAUCUUUCUGGUUGGGUACAAAGCAUGUUAUCUGAGCUCAACAACACUUCAGUUCCCUCUAAUUUCGACAUGAUUGGUAGUAUUGGAGAAAAAGAUUUAUGUGUAUCUCCGGGUGAUGGUGCAUCUUCUAGUAGUAUUACCAUUAAUGAGCAAAACAGAAUUAUUUCUGAUGACGAUUUGAGAGCAAUUCCAGGGGGAGCUGUGUUUGCAACAGAAAGUAAUAAAAGACAGAGAUCUUGUGUACCACUAACAGCAGAUGCAACAACAAGGCCAGUUGUACUUGUAGAUUCACAAGAAACUGGUGUUCGACUUGUGCACACAUUAAUGGCGUGUGCUGAAGCAGUUCAACAAGAGAAUCUUAAUGUAGCUGAUGCGCUUGUUAGACACAUUGGAAUUCUUGCUGUUUCACAAUCUGGUGCUAUGAGAAAAGUUGCAACUUAUUUCGCUGAAGCAUUAGCUCGAAGAAUUUACAAAAUUUACCCACAAGAUUCAAUUGAAUCAUCUUAUACUGAUGUGUUACAGAUGCACUUUUACGAAACAUGGCCAUAUCUCAAAUUUGCUCAUUUUACUGCAAAUCAAGCAAUUCUUGAAGCUUUUACAAAUUGCAAUAAAGUUCAUGUGAUUGAUUUCAGUUUAAAACAAGGGAUGCAAUGGCCAGCACUUAUUCAAGCUUUAGCUUUACGUCCAGGUGGGCCACCAGCAUUUAGGCUUACUGGAAUNUGAUUUACGGUCAAGUACUGAAACAGAAGUGGUGGCUGUUAAUUCAGUUUUUGAGCUACACAGAUUAUUAGCAAGACCUGGGGCUGUAGAAAAAGUGUUGAAUUCGAUCAAACAAAUGAACCCGAAAAUCGUGACGAUUGUUGAACAAGAAGCGAAUCAUAACGCUAGUGUUUUUUUGGACAGGUUUAACGAGGCAUUACAUUAUUAUUCAACAAUGUUUGAUUCGUUAGAGAGUUCAGUAUCAUCAUCGUCUACUGGGUUGACUCAGCCGAUUGUUAACAAUCAAGAUUUGGUUAUGUCUGAGGUGUAUUUAGGGAGACAGAUUUGUAACGUGGUGGCUUGUGAAGGUGUGGACCGAGUUGAGCGGCACGAGACGCUGAGUCAGUGGCGAGUUAGGAUGAACUCGGCCGGGUUCGAUCCGGUUCAUCUCGGUUCGAAUGCGUUUAAGCAAGCGAGUAUGCUGUUGGCGUUGUUUGCGGGCGGCGAUGGUUACAGAGUUGAAGAGAACGAUGGGUGUUUGAUGUUGGGUUGGCAUACUCGGCCACUCAUCGCCACCUCCGCGUGGCGGCUCAAGGCGGCCGGUGAUGCCGAGUUGUUGUGAGUCAACUCAGGGAAGUAACUGAGUCAACUCGGGUACCCCACCCCCCUUUUCCCUUCCCCUCACAUGGUGAAUUAUCAGUGAAUGGAUGGUGGGUGGGUGCGUGGGUGGUGAUUGUAAUGUGAGGAACAAUGAGAGAGACGUGCCUCAAAAUGGGUCAAAUCAUGUCUUUUACUUUUUAACCUCUUUAUAAGUCA